rnacentral:rRNA from 1 species
UACGGGGGGGGGCAAGCGUUGUUCGGAAUUACUGGGCGUAAAGGGCUCGUAGGCGGCCAACUAAGUCGGAUGUGAAAUCCCCAGGCUCAACUUGGGAACUGCAUCCGAUACUGGAUGGCUUGAAUUCGGGAGAGGGAUGCAGAAUUCCAGGUGUAGCGGUGAAAUGCGUAGAUAUCUGGAGGAAUACCGGUGGCGAAGGCGGCAUCCUGGACCCGACAUUGACGCUGAGGAGCGGAAAGCUAGGGGGAGCAAAC